UCCCUGGAGGACUAGUGGUUAGGCUACGGCGCUCUCACCACUGCGGCCCGGGUUCAAUUCCCGGCCAGGCAA
rnacentral:tRNA from 1 species